GUGUACAGCCAUACCGCCCUGAACAUGCCCAAUAUUGUCUGAUUUUGGAAGUUAAGCAGGGUUGGGCCUGACUAAUACUUGGAAGGGAGAAAGAAUACUCUAAUUAGGCCUUGUAGCUGCCUAGG
rfam:Gorilla gorilla gorilla genomic chromosome, chr12, whole genome shotgun sequence